CUACGGGCUGCUCCAGUGAGGAAUAUUGGACAAUGGGCGAAAGCCUGAUCCAGCCAUGCCGCGUGCAGGAAGACUGCCCUAUGGGUUGUAAACUGCUUUUGUACGGGAAGAAACACUCCCUCGUGAGGGAGCUUGACGGUACCGUAAGAAUAAGCAUCGGCUAACUCCGGCCAGCAGCCGCGGUAAUACGGAGGAUGCAAGCGUUAUCCGGAAUCAUUGGGUUUAAAGGGUCCGUAGGCGGAUGAUUAAGUCAGGGGUGAAAGUCUGCAGCUCAACUGUAGGACUGCCCUUGAUACUGGUUAUCUUGAAUCGUUGUGAAGUGGCUAGAAUAUGUAGUGUAGCGGUGAAAUGCAUAGAUAUUACAUGGAAUACCGAUUGCGAAGGCAGGUCACUAACAACGUAUUGACGCUGAGGGACGAAAGCGUGGGGAGCGAACAGGAUUAGAUACCCGCGUAGUC
rnacentral:rRNA from 1 species